rnacentral:rRNA from 1 species
CUUGCUCCUUUGACGUUAGCGGCGGACGGGUGAGUAACACGUGGGUAACCUACCUAUAAGACUGGAAUAACUCCGGGAAACCGGGGCUAAUGCCGGAUAACAUUUAGAACCGCAUGGUUCUAAAGUGAAAGAUGGUUUUGCUAUCACUUAUAGAUGGACCCGCGCCGUAUUAGCUAGUUGGUAAGGUAACGGCUUACCAAGGCAACGAUACGUAGCCGACCUGAGAGGGUGAUCGGCCACACUGGAACUGAGACACGGUCCAGACUCCUACGGGAGGCAGCAGUAGGGAAUCUUCCGCAAUGGGCGAAAGCCUGACGGAGCAACGCCGCGUGAGUGAUGAAGGUCUUCGGAUCGUAAAACUCUGUUAUUAGGGAAGAACAAAUGUGUAAGUAACUAUGCACGUCUUGACGGUACCUAAUCAGAAAGCCACGGCUAACUACGUGCCAGCAGCCGCGGUAAUACGUAGGUGGCAAGCGUUAUCCGGAAUUAUUGGGCGUAAAGCGCGCGUAGGCGGUUUCUUAAGUCUGAUGUGAAAGCCCACGGCUCAACCGUGGAGGGUCAUUGGAAACUGGGAAACUUGAGUGCAGAAGAGGAAAGUGGAAUUCCAUGUGUAGCGGUGAAAUGCGCAGAGAUAUGGAGGAACACCAGUGGCGAAGGCGACUUUCUGGUCUGUAACUGACGCUGAUGUGCGAAAGCGUGGGGAUCAAACAGGAUUAGAUACCCUGGUAGUCCACGCCGUA